UUGAGCACCUACGAUGCAUGGGUCAUUAAUAGUUUUUAGGAACACACAAAGGACAAAAUCCUGGCCCUCAAAGAACUUGUGACUCAGUAAGAGAGGAACAAUAGACCAACAAGCAUAGUAUAGUCACUAAGCGCUAUCAAGAAAAAAUAAAACAGUUUAAAAUGAUCAAGGGGCCAGGGGGUCCGUUUUUAGUGAGAAUGGUCCAAGAUGUUAUCUCUGAGGAGGUUACAUUUGAGUAGAGACAUGACUGAAGUAGGAAUUAAUCAGGAAUAGCAUUCUAUCUAGAAGGAACAGUAAGUGCAAAAGGACUUGAGCAGAAAUGAGUGUGAUGCAUUUAUGGAACAGAUAGGAGGCCUGUGUGACCAAAGUUAAGUUAACAAAACUAACUUACAUGUGCAUGUCUUUUUGGUUCAUCUAAUCUUUUUAUGUUUCAUUAUUUUAUUUGUACCUCAUAAUAAUAUAGUUAUCAUUUCCACUUUACAGAUAAGGAAACUGAUAUUCAAAGCGUAACCAAUGACUUGUCCAAAGAGAUAAAACUUGGCUUUGAACCCUUGUCUUCAGACUCCAAAUCAAGUACUUUUUCAUCUUCAGACCAGUAAGUGCUGAAUGUGGCCCCCAAAUUGGUUCAGAGCAACCAUGGUGGACUGUGGGAGAAGAACCAACAGGAUGCAGUGGGCAUCAGUCUUCACAGAUAAAUGAGGAAGAUGAGCCAGUGAGAAGGUAAGUCCUUUUUCUAGGGCCAUGAAAGGCUCUCAUUGAUGCCAAAACCAAUGGGAAAUUGGUUUAAGAAUUCACCAGGACAUGUCUUUCCAGCCCCAAGGUCACUGAAGCCCCUUACACCAGUUCAGGAACAGUUACCAUCCCUCCCUGAGGAUCUCCUGCUUCAUCCACAAGUCCUAUGGUGGAAGUUCACAGGUUUAAAAUUUUUUUUAAUUAUUUUUUUUAAAUGAAGGAUCAAUGAGAGCUCCAAAGAGUAUGAAAGGGACAGGUGUCUGCAGGUAAAGUUUUACUUUACCCUUGGUCCAUCAAAGGAGAAGACCUACUGUUUAAGGCUUUUGAAAGACGAGUGUGCAGGUGAAUGCCCACUCUUCUCAAUCACCACCUCUACAUACUUAGUUAUCUUUUUACAUGGUCUCUGUCGCACUUGACAGUAGGAGAGAAUCUAUUUCCCUACCACACCCUCCAGCCGUGGCUGUUUGCCUCCGCUAACCCAAUUUUUAGGCGCUUAUUUUUAGAAGAUGAAGACAAAAUUAUGAAUAAAAAAGUAGGCAAAUGAUUGAACAAGAAAAGAAUUCACAACUAAUUAUUGAAGACUUGGAGACCCAGCAUUUCUUGAGAUCUUUGUAGGCAAUUUUCCAGAAAUGCUUACAUGGAAAUGCUUCCUUAUUGCAACCUGGCUUUUCCUAACCACCUAGAACACUGCAUCUCUCAGUAACUCCCAGUGUUUAUGAGGUCCUGAUGCUGAAGUGUCCUCAGCUUCACGGCGAGGCAUUCCAAUUCCAUCCCAGUCUUCUCAUCAGCCAGAGACAAGAGGAUGAUUCACUCUGGGUUUUUGUUGUUGUUGUUGUUGUUUUGCAAGGGGAUGCUCCUCACUGAUGUGAGCAUUAGCUUCUGUUAGAGACAAUAUAGUCGUCUCUCAUUUGAAGAAUGACUUCUUCCUCUUAAAGUAACUCUAAUCUUACCAGUUGUUAAUUACAGAUCCCCAUAUUAUUGUGUUGUUUCUGGCUCUGGCUUAAAUUACAAGAGGUUGUAUUAGCUAUGUGACUCUGCCAAUACCACCCAGGUGGGAAACAUCAGCUUUUGCUUCCAAAUUUCCCUCCUAAAAGAAGAAAGUUCUAGUUUUUCCCGCCACGUGUGUCCUGCUGACUCAGACAACAAGCAUGUGGUGGGAGGAGACCAUGUUGACAAAGGUCCUCUGCAUGCCCCAUGCACCUUAUGGACACACUGGUAACAGGAACCAGUGCAUACGUGCCUGUGUUGUCAUCAACAUGGUCUGCAUCAAGAAUGUCAGGAAUGGCUUCCAAGUUGCAAGAAUUUGUUUUGCUGUGUCUUGAACGCAGAGGGCAUUUAUCCCGGCCGGGUAAAGCCUGUAUACACCUAACAGAGGAAAUGACACAUGUUAAAAUACUUUAAAAGUAGAAUUUUCGUUGAACCAUGAUAAGCCUGGAGCUGAUGUUCUUUAAAUGACCAUCCAGAAUUCAUUCCAUACUAAACUUCUCUGGAGAAUGUAUGACGGUGAGAAAGGCUGUUAGCUUAACAAGACCAUCAAAUGGACUGACUAAUCUCUUAUUUCGCUUUCUCUCUCCAUGGAGGUUCUGCUUUGAGUCUGCUUGAGUUGAAUAAUUCUUCAGUGUUGCUCUGAAUGGUAUCUAAACAUGUCUCUUCAUGUUAGCUUUGCCCUAUCGUCUUUAAGCUUUCACUAGCUUCUCUGGAUUAUCGAAGGAGGAAGCAAAAACUAGUGCCCUACUCACAGUCUCUGGAAGCAAUAGGACAAGAAUGAGAAGGAGGUGGGGAUAAAAGGAAAACCGAACUCAAAAGAGCAGUUGGGUGUCACAGCAAAUGCUCCCAGCCUGUAGCAAGCAUCUGGUAACAUAACCUUACCUGCUCUCCUACCACAAGUGUCAAAUAAUUAGUGCAGUCCCUUGUCUUCUGUAGAGAAGUAUUUUGCUUAAUAUAUGUAAAUAGAAGACCUGCAGAAUUUAUUUUGAAAAACAAUGUACAAUAUUGAAAGUAAACCAGUAAAGCUUUCUUUUAAGAGAAACAUACAAAAAUGGAAAUGAAAAAGACCAUUUGAGCUUGCAUUCUUGAUAGAGCCUUCACCACUGUAGACAAUGUUAUGAGAAGGGCAGGUAUGGCUGGAUUUUAAUGAAAACUUCCCUUAAAUUCAUGCUCAGUUUGUGCCACACGGAGUCCUGUGUCCUUGUCACAAGAGCUCUCUCAAGAAGGUACCAUUAUUCAAAUUAAACAUACUGUGCUGGGUCAAAUAGUGUCCUCCCCAUCCCACACUCCAAACUCACACCCACCUGGUAUCUGAGAAUGAUACUUUAUUUGGAAAUGGGUAUUUGCAGAUAUAAUCAAGUUUAAAUGAGGUCAUACUGAAUUAAGGGGGACCUUAAUCCAAUGAGUGGUGUCCUAAGAAGAGGGGGACACAGAGACAGAGAGGAGAGCGCCAUGUGAAGACAGAGGCAGAGGUUGGAGUGAUGCAUCUUUUUUUUUUCAAUAUAUGAAGUUUAUUGUCAAAUUGGUUUCCAUACAACACCCAGUGCUCAUCCCAAAAGGUGCCCUCCUCAAUACCCAUCACCCACCCUCCCCUCCCUCCCACCCCCAUCAAUCCUCAGUUUAUUCUCAGUUUUUAAGAGUUGGAGUGAUGCAUCUCUAAGCCAAGGAACAGCAAAGAUGCUGGCAACAUCAGAAGCUAGAGCCUUCAGAGAAAGCAUGACCCUGCAGACACCUUGAUUUCAGACUUCUGGCCUCCAGAACUGAAUCCUAUGCACACGACUCUACAGGUUCUUGGAAGAAAAUGAACUCUUAAUUUGAGGAACAUUUGAGGAACCGAGGUCAAGGAAAAGUUCUGCUCCUGGCUAAGGUCUUGCUGCUUGCAUAACUACUUUGACGGUCAAGAACAAUACAGUAAAUACAUUCCUGAUUCUUCCCCCCCCCCCCCAAAGGAACUUCUUCGCCAUUUAAAAACAGCCUUCCCUACAAGAAAAUGUGCCCCUUAAGGUUAUUUAGCCUAUUUAUUGCUGAUGUUAAUUAAACAACAACCUGGGCUUUAAACAGAGUCGUUGCUUCUGAUGAAAAAUUAACUAUCGUCUGCUAGUAAAGAUAGCACGCGAGGCGAGACGCGGGGCGGGUGGUGUGGCGGGACCCGGGGUGUCGCGCGUGGGCGAGGCAGGUCCUGUAGAUGGCAGUGUCGCACCGCAGCACGCGCCUCGGCUGGCUGCUGCGGGCUGGGGAUGUGGGCUGCAAAGGAUAAAAGCUGCCGGGAGAGCGGGCUUGCCCUCCAGCCAGCAAUUUAACUAAGUUGCUGGUUCGCUACUCGAUUUCAUAGUCGCCCUCUAAAUGAAUCUUUUCUGAACUCAGCAGAAGUACAAACUGUUCUUUUAUACAUCCCAAAUUGUCCUUUUGGUGAAGUGGGUUUUUAUUUU